rnacentral:tRNA from 1 species
GCGUCAGGCGGAGUGGUUAACGCGCUGGCCUGCUAAGCCAGUUCCUUCGGGAGCGUGUGUUCGAAUCACACAGGUGUCGAGACA